UACUAUUCCUUUACCUUUUUAUGUACCUGUUCUAUAGCGAAUAUGCAUUGGAGCUUGUAUAUCUUGUUGUUUAUCACAAUUACCACAAUUGUCAUAUUUGAUUAGCAUUUUAUUCUUACCGUGUUGUUCAAACAAGGAGUAGCUCCGGUUACAUUUUUAUUUGAACUGUAAGCCCACUUUACUUUCAGUCAGGCCAACAUGUGGCCAACAUGUUUACUGUACUUACCGUACAGGAAAUUAAAGAAACGUUUCAGAAAGAUUACUGUAAUGCUUUUUUCACUUACACUGUAUUCUCUCUAUAGGAAAAUUUUUUUUUCCCACGUGGAACUGUCAAUUGUCAGUUGUCGCAUCUAGUCAUGAAAAAAGACAACAUUCCUUUUCUUGUUGGCUAUUGGUCAACUAUGAAUCCGCCCCUGGAGUAUGAGGCUAUCUGAUUGGACACUUAUGUUAAACUCAUCUCUCAUUGGCUGAGGAUGACGCGGGCCCUUAAACUGCAAAUAAAUCUUAACUCAAGCUUGCUAACCACCGUAUCAUCACCCUGUCUACCAUGUCCUGAGUAACUUAAUAAUAACAAGCGGGUUCAUACUGUCAGUAUGUCUAAGACUGAUAUGUCCCAUGCGCUCGACAUUCUCCGGUCACUGUAUCAGCACGUGCAGACACUGGAGGAGUUUGUAGACAGCAUCGUGUUCAGAGAAGGACAGAGAGCAGUGCUCAUUGAACAGCCCGACACAAACCGCUUCAAAUCCUUCGUCCGUGGUGUUUUUGUAUGCUUUGACAAGGAACUACGGCAAGUUCCAAGCUGCAACCAGAUCUGCACUCUGCCCGAACUGCUGGCCUUUGUUCUUAAUAGUCUGAAAAGAAAGAAAAAAAGAAAUGUCUUGGCACAUGGCUACAAUUAUCUGUCCCUGGCUCAGGAAGAGCGGGACGCAGACCACUUCAAAUUCCAAGGAGAUGUAACUCAAAGCGCUGCGUACAUCCAUGGCAGUGACCUGUGGAAGAAAGUCACAAUACGUCUUGGCACAGACAUCACACGGUACCUGUUGGAGAGCUGCUCUGUGUUUGUGGCAGUCCCUCCUUCAUGUGUUUUCCAGGUGUGUGGCGUUCCUGUCUAUGACAGGGUGUCCAUGACUACUGGCUCCUCUGGGUUUUAUCUCCAGCCACAGUCCAGGACACAUAAUGGUGUUCAGUUUGGAAAGUUUCGAGGUGCAGCGACCUUGAAAAGGAGACAGGAAGUUGAGAAUCUGACUAUCAGCAAGACGAGGAACAGAAGGGAUGUAAGAGUUAAGAAGGGGAAAAGAAAGAGAGAAACUGAUCAGAAGGAUGAGGAGGAGAUUAUGACUUGUUCAGGAAGGAAAAGACGGGUAGGACAGCAAGAACCUACACAGGAAAUCCAACAAGUUUGCUAUGAAACAGUGGAGGAAGAGCCCAUGUCUGUGGAACCAACAAUAUCUAUGAAGCCUUUGGAAAAUGGCGUGCCUGGUUCCAAACAGCUUGUCGAAAUGCAAACAACCCUACUUCCCUUGGAGGGAGGACCCAGUUGGAGAUCAGGGAUUUUCCCCCCUUUGCCUCCCUCCCAAUGUUUUAUCCGCACACUGGGAUUCCUGUAUGGGGGAAGGGGAAUGCGUGGCUUCCUUCUCAAUAGGAAGAAGAAGAGUGCUGAUGGAUGCAGAAGGCUACAAGGGCAAGAUUUGGUACGAACAGUCUUCUUUGAGGGACUGGCGUAUCUAAACGGGCUAGAGAGGAAGCCAAAAAAACUCCCCCGGCGCUUUUUUAACAUGGUCCCCCUGUUCAGUCAGCUGUUGCGUCAACACAGGAGAUGUCCCUACAGCAGAAUACUGCAGAGGAUGUGCCCAGUGGUGGAGGAGAGAGAUACAGGACAGGGGGAAUUAAGCUCCCUCUUGCCUCAACACUGUGCACCUCACCGGGUCUACCUGUUCGUCAAGGAAUGCCUCUCCGCUGUGAUCCCUCAAGAGCUGUGGGGCUCCGACCACAACCGACUUCAUUUCUUUGUCAGGGUCAGGGGCUUCUUGCGCAGUGGCAAGUUUGAGAGGCUGUCACUGGCUGAACUGAUGUGGAAGAUGAAGGUGAACGACUGCGAUUGGUUGAAGAUCAGUAAAACAGGCAGGUUCCCGCCCAGUGAGCUCUCAUACCGAAAACAGAUCCUGGGUCAGUUCCUGGCUUGGCUUCUGGACGGCUAUGUUGUAGGACUGGUUCGAGCCUGUUUCUAUGUCACUGAGAGUGUGGGCCAGAAGAACGCCGUUAAGUUCUACAGACAGGAAGUCUGGGCAAAACUGCAGGACCUGGCCUUCAGAGGUCACCUUUCCAAGGGUCAGAUGGAGGAGUUGACUCCGGCUCAGGUGGCAUCCCUCCCGAAAGCAACGGUCAUCUCCCGCCUUCGCUUCAUUCCCAAGACUGACGGCAUGAGGCCGAUCACACGAGUCAUAGGAGCCGAUCCAAAAACAAGGGUCUACCGAGGGCGUGUCCGGGACUUGCUGGAUAUGCUGCGGGCCUGUGUACACUCCACUCCAUCCCUCCUGGGCUCCACGGUGUGGGGGAUGACAGAUAUCCACAAGGUGCUGCGCUCUAUAGCGCCGGCCCAGAAGGACAAGCCACAACCCCUCUACUUUGUUAAGGUGGAUGUAAGUGGAGCCUAUGAGAGUCUGCCUCAUGACAAACUCAUUGAGGUGAUUGGCCAGGCUCUGUCACCUGUCCAGGAUGAACUCUUUACCAUCCGCCGCUAUGCCAAGAUCUGGUCUGAUUCCCACGAGGGUCUGAAAAAAUCCUUUGUUAGACAGGCAGAUUUUCUGGAGGAUAACAUGGGAUCCACCAACAUGAAAGGGUUUGUGAUGUCACUGCAGAAAAGAGGAAAAGUUCAUCACGCCAUACUGGUAGAGCAGCAUUUCUGCUCAGAUCUUCAUGGCAGAGAGGCAUUGCAGUUCUUCACCCAAAUGCUAACUGGCAGUGUUGUUCAGUUUGGGAAGAAAACAUACCGUCAAUGCCGAGGGAUUCCUCAGGGGUCGGUCGUGUCCAGUCUGCUCUGCUGUCUCUGCUACGGUCACAUGGAGAAUGUCCUGUUCAAAGACAUUACUGAAAAGAAAGGAUGUUUGAUGAGACUGGUGGAUGACUUCCUUCUGAUCACCCCAGACUUAAACGAAGCACAAACCUUUCUCAAGAUUUUGCUGGCCGGGGUACCACAGUAUGGUCUGGUGGUCAACCCGCAGAAGGUGGUGGUCAACUUUCAGGUGUCGGGAUGUGUGGGCUCUUGUCCCAGCAUUCGUGUGCUGCCCCCUCACUGUCUCUUCCCCUGGUGUGGACUGCUGCUGGACACCCACUCACUGGACGUCUACAAAGAUUAUUCUAGCUACGCAGGCCUGUCUUUGCGCUACAGCCUUACUCUGGGCUCUUUCCACUCAGCUGGACAGCAAAUGAGGAGAAAACUGAUGACUAUCCUCAGACUCAAGUGCCAUGCCUUGUUCUUGGACCUGAAGACCAAUUCUCUUGAGGCAGUCUACAAGAACAUCUACAAGCUGGUGCUGCUUCAUGCAUGCAGGUUCCAUGUGUGUGCCCAGAGUUUGCCCUUUGGUCAGACCGUUGCUAAAAACCCUGUCUACUUCCUGCAGAUGAUAUGGGAUAUGGCUGAGUAUGCCAAUCGGCUUAUCAGGAUCAGCAACAAAGGACUGAUUUUAGGCAAUGAGGCUCAGACUGGCAUUGUGCAGUAUGAAGCAGUGGAGCUGCUUUUCUGUCUUUCCUUCUUGCAAGUGCUGUCACAACAUCGUCCUCUCUAUAAGGAUCUGCUUGCACACCUGCACAAAAGGAAGCGCAGUCUAGAGCGGCGUCUGGGGGAUCUGAGGCUGGCCAGGGUCCGACAGGCCACUAACCCCAGGACCCCAGUUGACUUCUUGGCCAUCCAGACGUAGACUACCAGCUAGCCCAAAUCACAGCUCCCAACACAACCAUGAAACCCUCAGCAGCUGAAAGGUUUCGAGGGAGGGAGUGAGAUGAGCAGUGUGUUGCAAUCAGUAAUUUGGAUUUAUAGGAUCUGUCAUUGUGCCAAAGAAAUUGUGUUCUACAGUGUUGCGAAAAAGAGAAAAACAAUCCUUAGUCAACUGAUAUAAAACACUUAAGUGAUAAACCUUAGUCAUAAACACACCCUAUAAAACAACAACAACCACCAGAUCAAUAAAGUUGGAUAAUUAAAAACCUUCCAACUACUGCACUAGACCCCAUCUCAUCCCACAACUGCUGUCUCUCUGGACUUUGAUUUCCACUUUGUUUUCCACGAAGAAGAAAUGACAUCACUUGGAAAAGAAUUUAUAUGGAAAUAAGUACACAGAAAUAUUGUCAGCCACCACAGGAAUAAGUCAAAUGAUGAAGAUGAUUUGCUUUCAGUUUUGAUGUAGUACACUGAUGAUAAUCUUUCAGAAAUUAAUGUUCUUUCUAUGAACAGCAGGAAGCUUAAAAUCUAAUGGUGUUAAGACUACAUUUAAGUUCAAAUAUAGGGUUUUGUAAAUUUGUAAUCAGAGACUGGUUGUGUGUUUCAGUAUGAUGUGUUUGAUUUAAUGUUAUUUACAUCAUGUACACUACACAACAAUGUACAAAGGAAAUCAUUUCACUGUUAAAUAAAUCCAGUUUUGUUAGUGAUGAAACAAAUGUGAGUGGUCACAUAAACAUCGUGAAGAAUCAAUAGGAAAGUUCAUAUUACAGUUCAGUGUGACUGAUUUAUAUGUCAUCUGUUCAGUAAAUUAAGCUGAAAAUUCCACAGAAACAGUGAUAA